rnacentral:rRNA from 1 species
GAUGAACGCUAGCUACAGGCUUAACACAUGCAAGUCGAGGGGCAGCAUGUCGGUUGCUUGCAACCGACGAUGGCGACCGGCGCACGGGUGAGUAACGCGUAUCCAACCUACCCUUGUCCAUCGGAUAACCCGUCGAAAGGCGGCCUAACACGAUAUGCGGUUCUCAGCAGGCAUCUAACGAGAACGAAAUGUGAAGGAGAAGGAUGGGGAUGCGUCUGAUUAGCUUGUUGGCGGGGUAACGGCCCACCAAGGCAACGAUCAGUAGGGGUUCUGAGAGGAAGGUCCCCCACAUUGGAACUGAGACACGGUCCAAACUCCUACGGGAGGCAGCAGUGAGGAAUAUUGGGUCAAUGGGCGAGAGCCUGAACCAGCCAAGUAGCGUGCAGGACGACGGCCCUAUGGGUUGUAAACUGCUUUUAUAAGGGAAUAAAGUGAGUCUCGUGAGACUUUUUGCAUGUACCUUAUGAAUAAGGACCGGCUAAUUCCGUGCCAGCAGCCG